rnacentral:rRNA from 1 species
GACGAACGCUGGCGGCGUGCCUAAUACAUGCAAGUAGAACGCUGAAGGAGGAGCUUGCUCUUCUGGAUGAGUUGCGAACGGGUGAGUAACGCGUAGGUAACCUGCCUGGUAGCGGGGGAUAACUAUUGGAAACGAUAGCUAAUACCGCAUAACAGUAGAUGUUGCAUGACAUUUACUUAAAAGGUGCAAUUGCAUCACUACCAGAUGGCCCUGCGUUGUAUUAGCUAGUUGGUGGGGUAACGGCUCACCAAGGCGACGAUACAUAGCCGACCUGAGAGGGUGAUCGGCCACACUGGGACUGAGACACGGCCCAGACUCCUACGGGAGGCAGCAGUAGGGAAUCUUCGGCAAUGGACGGAAGUCUGACCGAGCAACGCCGCGUGAGUGAAGAAGGGUUUCGGAUCGUAAAGCUCUGUUGUAAGAGAAGAACGAGUGUGAGAGUGGAAAGUUCACACUGUGACGGUAUCUUACCAGAAAGGGACGGCUAACUACGUG